UACGAAGGGGGCUAGCGUUGCUCGGAAUCACUGGGCGUAAAGGGUGCGUAGGCGGGUCUUUAAGUCAGGGGUGAAAUCCUGGAGCUCAACUCCAGAACUGCCUUUGAUACUGAGGAUCUUGAGUUCGGGAGAGGUGAGUGGAACUGCGAGUGUAGAGGUGAAAUUCGUAGAUAUUCGCAGGAACACCAGUGGCGAAGGCGGCUCACUGGCCCGAUACUGACGCUGAGGCACGAAAGCGUGGGGAGCAAACGGG
rnacentral:rRNA from 1 species